rnacentral:tRNA from 1 species
AGUUAUUUACUUGAAAUAAGCUUAUGUCUUGAAAUCAUAAUGAAAGGGUUUAUUUCCCUUAAUAACUU